rnacentral:misc_RNA from 1 species
GCUCCGUAGGUGAACCUGCGGAGGGAUCAUUACAGAGUUCAUGCCCUACCGGGUAGAUCUCCCACCCUAUGUUAUUAUUACUUUGUCGCUUUGGCGGGCCGUUAGGCUCCGGCCCGACUACCGGCCCCGGCUGGUAAGCGCCCGCCAGAGGACCCAAAACCCUGAAUAUUAGUGUCGUCUGAGUACUAUAUAAUAGUUAAAACUUUCAACAACGGAUCUCUUGGUUCUG